rnacentral:lncRNA from 1 species
CUUGUACCAACUGCUUAACUCAAGAUGGUUGUGGCGCAGUGCUCUGCUACUUCGUGCCACAGGCCAUUCUCCAACUGCAGAUCUACGUGUCAGCGCGACAGUGCACUCACUCACCUUGUUUGGCCCGGUGGAAUUUGGUAUGUCACUUGAGGCGAGGAGGACUUGAGAAGGUGCGUCUGCGAACGGCCUUAGUGACGCCUCUUCAGCGCGACGGGUGGUCUCCUCAAAUAUGAGAAGGAGCUCGGGUCCUGCGGGCUCUUAACCGUCGUAGUAUUCACGCAGUGUUUUAAAAUAGUGUUUGUGUGUAUUAUGAUAACAUUUAUGUUCAAUUCAAAUGUCUAACUCUACAUAAGUAUUCAUAUCAUUUUUCAUUAGUAUGGUGCUGUUUUUGCGGUCUGAAGAAAAAACUUUAAAUAAAAUAAUUAUGUUGUCUGUA